UACGUAGGGUGCGAGCGUUGUCCGGAAUUAUUGGGCGUAAAGGGCUCGUAGGCGGUUUGUCGCGUCGGGAGUGAAAACCUCGGGCUUAACUCGGGGCUUGCUUUCGAUACGGGCAGACUGGAGGUAUGCAGGGGAGAACGGAAUUCCUGGUGUAGCGGUGAAAUGCGCAGAUAUCAGGAGGAACACCGGUGGCGAAGGCGGUGAUCUGGGCCGAUACUGACGCUGUAGAGCGAAAGCGUGGGGAGCGAACAGG
rnacentral:rRNA from 1 species